rnacentral:rRNA from 1 species
CCUACGGGGGGCAGCAGUGGGGAAUAUUGGACAAUGGGCGCAAGCCUGAUCCAGCCAUGCCGCGUGAGUGAUGAAGGCCUUAGGGUUGUAAAGCUCUUUUGUCCGGGACGAUAAUGACGGUACCGGAAGAAUAAGCCCCGGCUAACUUCGUGCCAGCAGCCGCGGUAAUACGAAGGGGGCUAGCGUUGCUCGGAAUCACUGGGCGUAAAGCGCGCGCAGGCGGUCUUUUAAGUCUGAUGUGAAAUCUUGCGGCUCAACCGCAAGCGGUCAUUGGAAACUGGGAGACUUGAGUGCAGAAGAGGAAAGCGGAAUUCCCAGUGUAGCGGUGAAAUGCGUAGAUAUUGGGAGGAACACCAGUUGCGAAGGCGGCUCUCUGGACUGUAACUGACGCUGAGGCACGAAAGCGUGGGGAGCGAACAGGAUUAGAUACCCCAGUAGUC